rnacentral:rRNA from 1 species
GAUGUAACGGGGCUAAACCAUGCACCGAAGCUGCGGCAGCGACGCUGAUGCGUUGUUGGGUAGGGGAGCGUUCUGUAAGCCUGCGAAGGUGGCCUGUGAGGGUUGCUGGAGGUAUCAGAAGUGCGAAUGCUGACAUAAGUAACGAUAAAGCGGGUGAAAAGCCCGCUCGCCGGAAGACCAAGGGUUCCUGUCCAACGUUAAUCGGGGCAGGGUGAGUCGACCCCUAAGGCGAGGCCGAAAGGCGUAGUCGAUGGGAAACGGGUUAAUAUUCCCGUACUUGGUGUUACUGCGAAGGGGGGACGGAGAAGGCUAUGUUGGCCGGGCGACGGUUGUCCCGGUUUAAGCGUGUAGGUGUGUGUUCCAGGUAAAUCCGGUUCACUUUAACACUGAGGCGUGAUGACGAGGCACUACGGUGCUGAAGCAACAAAUGCCCUGCUUCCAGGAAAAGCCUCUAAGCAUCAGGUAACAUCAAAUCGUACCCCAAACCGACACAGGUGGUCAGGUAGAGAAUACCAAGGCGCUUGAGAGAACUCGGGUGAAGGAACUAGGCAAAAUGGUGCCGUAACUUCGGGAGAAGGCACGCUGACACGUAGGUGAAGUGAUUUACUCAUGGAGCUGAAGUCAGUCGAAGAUACCAGCUGGCUGCAACUGUUUAUUAAAAACACAGCACUGUGCAAACACGAAAGUGGACGUAUACGGUGUGACGCCUGCCCGGUGCCGGAAGGUUAAUUGAUGGGGUCAGCGCAAGCGAAGCUCCUGAUCGAAGCCCCGGUAAACGGCGGCCGUAACUAUAACGGUCCUAAGGUAGCGAAAUUCCUUGUCGGGUAAGUUCCGACCUGCACGAAUGGCGUAAUGAUGGCCAGGCUGUCUCCACCCGAGACUCAGUGAAAUUGAACUCGCUGUGAAGAUGCAGUGUACCCGCGGCAAGACGGAAAGACCCCGUGAACCUUUACUAUAGCUUGACACUGAACAUUGAGCCUUGAUGUGUAGGAUAGGUGGGAGGCUUUGAAGUGUGGACGCCAGUCUGCAUGGAGCCGACCUUGAAAUACCACCCUUUAAUGUUUGAUGUUCUAACGUGGACCCGUGAUCCGGGUUGCGGACAGUGUCUGGUGGGUAGUUUGACUGGGGCGGUCUCCUCCUAAAGAGUAACGGAGGAGCACGAAGGUUGGCUAAUCCUGGUCGGACAUCAGGAGGUUAGUGCAAUGGCAUAAGCCAGCUUGACUGCGAGCGUGACGGCGCGAGCAGGUGCGAAAGCAGGUCAUAGUGAUCCGGUGGUUCUGAAUGGAAGGGCCAUCGCUCAACGGAUAAAAGGUACUCCGGGGAUAACAGGCUGAUACCGCCCAAGAGUUCAUAUCGACGGCGGUGUUUGGCACCUCGAUGUCGGCUCAUCACAUCCUGGGGCUGAAGUAGGUCCCAAGGGUAUGGCUGUUCGCCAUUUAAAGUGGUACGCGAGCUGGGUUUAGAACGUCGUGAGACAGUUCGGUCCCUAUCUGCCGUGGGCGCUGGAGAACUGAGGGGGGCUGCUCCUAGUACGAGAGGACCGGAGUGGACGCAUCACUGGUGUUCGGGUUGUCAUGCCAAUGGCACUGCCCGGUAGCUAAAUGCGGAAGAGAUAAGUGCUGAAAGCAUCUAAGCACGAAACUUGCCCCGAGAUGAGUUCUCCCUGAGACUUUAGGUCUCCUGAAGGAACGUUGAAGACGACGACGUUGAUAGGCCGGGUGUGUAAGCGCAGCGAUGCGUUGAGCUAACCGGUACUAAUGAACCGUGAGGCUUAACCUU